AACAGGUUAUGGGACAUAGGCCUUUCAUAACAAGAGUGCUCACACCGAAAUGUAUUGCCUGUGUUAGUGACCAUUGAUUUCAAGUUGAUAGUCCUAAAAAUAACGUUCUACUACAAGUAUCCCAUAAACAGAACAUGAUCAAGGGAAAUGAGACCCCGAUCAGAUGAAUCAAGCCAGAAAUACAUGAACACCUAAAAAUCUUUCCAUACAC
rnacentral:lncRNA from 1 species